rnacentral:piRNA from 1 species
UGAACUUUCUGUUGGUCAAGUCAAAUUGUC